rnacentral:lncRNA from 10 species
CGCAGCCCGCGCGGGCUGACCUGCCCAGAAGCCUGUUCCCAGUCCCUGCCGUUCCCAGUCACUGCCUCAGGGUGGCCGAGGAGGACGAGCUCUUGGUGUCUCGGCUCCACUGACUGCUUUUCUUUCUCCUUCAGAUGCUGAUCGCGUGGACAGCACCACAUUAUUGGGUAAUGCAUGCCAGGACUGUGCAAAGAGGAAGUUAGAAGAGAAUGGAAUUGAAGUUUCAAAAAAACGCACACAAUCAGAUACUGAUGAUGCUGGAGGGUCUUGAAAUCUUUACAGUAAAACCUGCAACUUGAAAACUAGCCUUCUGUAACCACAGUGCCCAAACGAAGAGGAAUGUAUGGAGAACUCCACGUGGAUCUCUGAUUGCGAAACCGUCACAUACACCAAGAGAGCCACAUGGGCAUGUGGCCCUCAAGGCUGGGUGAGAGGGCUCCCCUGUGUGUUGAACUAUGCAGGAGGGUGACGCGGACACAUUUCAGGUGGACUUUGCAAGGACUGAUGGAUAGCUACCUCAGGGACCAGAAUCCGUGGGAAGGGAUGGACCUGGUGUUCCCGUUCCCAUCUGACAGGCUCUCUUUUGUCAAGGUGGUAUUUUUCGUAAUAAAAGGGGAAGAGUAAAGACUGUCCAAGCAACAGUAGCUGCCAAAGAGAAAAUACGAAAUAGACACUUUUUUUUUUUGAGUCAGAGUCUCACUCUGUCACCCAG